GGAGAGAUGGCCGAGAGGUCGAAGGCGCACGCCUGCUAAGUGUGUGACCCGUUUCGGGUCCGAGGGUUCAAAUCCCUCUCUCUCCG
rnacentral:tRNA from 1 species